CUGUCCCUUCAGAAUUCUCUCAACAAUUUUCUUGUUUUCGAUUUUCUGUUUGUUUGUUUGUUUGUUUGUUUUUAGUCGAAACAGUCUGUCCAGCAUGAAAUGGGGAAGCAAAAGCAGAAUUAUCUUCUCAGAGAAGAAUUUGCCCUUUCAGAUUCCUACUGAUGUAGACUAACACAAAUAAACCACAAACAGACUAUCAAUUUGUUCCCAUCUGUUGCUUACAACACAAACAGGGAUGUUCAUCUCAUUGGUUUCAAUGAGAUAAGCACUGCUUGCAAAGCUUUGAUAAGUAAAAUACACAUACACACAUUCAUACAUUAAUUUGGGUCCAGGGCAAGGAAAGGUCAUGAGGGAUUAAGGUAGUAUGCCCGGGUCACAAAAGGAGCAUUCAACUCAGUGAGCUUGUCUAUAGUAAAACAAGCUAAGAUUAACUUUUUGGUUGCAAGGUUAAGUAAAAGUCAUCUGUCCAGAGCAUGUCCAUAUUGUACAAGUCCUUCCCAUACUGAGGAGUCCUUGGCACUACUGUUUCUUUGGGCAUUGUCAUUUCUCCUGGCUCUGGCUUAGGGCAGAGGGAGGGGCUGGGCUUACCCAGGCUCUCCUGUCCUUGCAGGAAGGUGUAUGACUUCUUCUCCACAUUCAUCAUCUCUGGGAUGCGUUUCCUCCUCAAUCAGCAGAUCUGCCCAGUGCUCCGCCAUGCUGGGAUGGUGCUACUCAACACCCUCCUGGACGCAGUGCCUGGUGAGUCAAUGCUGGUGAGUUUAGGCGCCUUGCUGCAGGCCUGGAGUUGGAGCUAAGGAGGGAGGAAGCCAGGUAGGAGAUGUCAUGCAGGAUCUCAGAACAGGUCCCUUCAAAGUCCAGCUAUGGGGCAGUCCUGGCUUCAAAUGUGUCACUAGCAUGCUGUGUAACCUAGUACAAACUUCCCUCUGAGCCUCAGUUUCCUCACUGGCUGGUAACCACCCCCAGGGGUUGUCAAGGUCUCUAAUCUGCUUACUAAUCACUGGGGUCCCAUUUGUCUUCAAAUCAUAUGACAGUAAGUGCUCAGUUAACAUGAACUCUUUUUUUUUUUCCUAAGCCAUGGUGUCUGUCCACUGUGGGUCAGAGACCUUGUCCUAUCAGGUCUAACACACAGGGUGUGAAAAAGGAGGAGACAAGGGAAACCAAGAAAUGAAAUACCUCCUUUGCCAGCUUAACAUUUUUUUAAAUGGGGAGCUAGAGAGAUGGUUCAGUGGUUAAGAGCACUGACUGCUCUUGCAGAGGACCCAGGUUCAAUUCCCAGCACUCACAUGGUGGCUAACAACUAUCCAUGAGAGAUGGUUCAGUGGUUAAGAACACUGGUUGUUCUUGCAGAAGACCGAGGUUCGAAUCCCAGCACCCACAUUGCAGCUAAUAACUGUCCGUAACUCCAGUCCCAGGGGAUCUGACAGCCUCUUCUGACCUCCGAGGGCAUUGCACGGAAUGGGUGCACUUACCUACAUGCAGGCAAUACACACAUACACAUAAAAAAAUAAAAAGUAAAUUAAAAUUUUAAAAACAUAUUAUUAUUGUGUCUAUAUGAGCACACAUGGUAUCACGUGUGUGUUUGGGUACCCAUACCCUGGCAUGUAUGUGGAGGUCAGGCAAUGACACUGUGGCGUUGGUUGUCUCCGUCCACCUUUAUGUGGGCUCUGGGGAUUGAACUCACGUCUCUAGGCUUUCAAGGCAAGUGCCUUUACCUGAUAAACCAUUUCACUGGCCUCCUUUGCCGUUUUCCUUAGCAAUUUGAUGAAACUCUUUUAGUAGUCAUUGU
ensembl:lincRNA